rnacentral:rRNA from 1 species
CCUGGUUGAUCCUGCCAGUAAUCAUAUGCUUGUCUCAAAGAUUAAGCCAUGCAUGUCUAAGUACAUGCCGAAAUAAGGCGAAACCGCGAAUGGCUCAUUAAAUCAGUUAUGGUUCCGCUUAGAUCAGUUUCUUCCUACUUGGCGAUAGUAGCUCGGUGGCAAUUCUAGAGCUAAACUUGCAGUGAGGGCCUGGAGCCCUUUGGUAACGCGGGUGCGCCUUUGAUUAGACCAAGAUCGAUCGGGUUAUUUCGGCCCGUAUGUGAGUGUGGUGGAUGCUCUGGACUUUGUGCUGAUCGCAUGGCCACGAGCCGGCGACGUUUCUUUCAAGUGUCUGCCUUAUCAACUUUCGAUGGUAGGUUACUUGCUUACCAUGGUUGUUACGGGUAACGGAGAAUCAGGGUUCGAUUCCGGAGAGGGAGCCUGAGAAACGGCUACCACAUCCAAGGAAGGCAGCAGGCGCGCAAAUUACCCACUCCCGGCACGGGGAGGUAGUGACGAAAAAUAACAAUACGGGACUCUUUUGAGGCCCCGUAAUUGAAAUGAGUACACUCUAAAUCCUUUAACGAGGAUCAAUUGGAGGGCAAGUCUGGUGCCAGCAGCCGCGGUAAUUCCAGCUCCAAUAGCGUAUACUAAAGCUGCUGCGGUUACAGGCUCGUAGUUGGAGUCUCAGUUGCGCAGCACCGAUGGUGCCAUCAGCCCGUAUGCACGCUCGGGACUGAGAAGCAUGCAUCGCGGUUCUUCUUUCUUGGUGCACUUCAUUGUGCGCCUCGAGAUGGCCGGUGCUUUUACUUUGAAAAAAUUAGAGUGCUCAACGCAGGCGAGUCGCCUGAAUAAACUUGCAUGGAAUAAUAGAACAAGACCUCGUUUCUGUUCUGUUGGUUUUUGGAAUACGAGGUAAUGAUUAAGAGGGACGGACGGGGGCAUUCGUAUUGCGGCGCUAGAGGUGAAAUUCUUGGACCGUCGCAAGACGAACUACUGCGAAAGCAUUUGCCAAGAAUGUUUUCAUUGAUCAAGAACGAAAGUCAGAGGUUCGAAGGCGAUCAGAUACCGCCCUAGUUCUGACCAUAAACGAUGCCAACCAGCGAUCCGCCUGAGUUACUCAAAUGACUCGGCGGGCAGCUUCCGGGAAACCAAAGUAUUUGGGUUCCGGGGGAAGUAUGGUUGCAAAGCUGAAACUUAAAGGAAUUGACGGAAGGGCACCACCAGGAGUGGAGCCUGCGGCUUAAUUUGACUCAACACGGGAAAACUUACCCGGCCCGGACACUGGGAGGAUUGACAGAUUGAGCCCUUUCCCUUGAUUCGGUGGGAAUGUGGGCAUGGCCGUUCUUAGUUGGGGAGCAGAUUUGUGUCUGGUUAAUUCCGAUAACGAACGAGACUCUAGCCUAUUAAAUAGGAGCGGGGUUCCCAGCACCUUACAACCUUCUUAGAGGGACAAGCGGCUCCUAGCCGCACGAAACACAGCAAUAACAGGUCUGUGAUGCCCUUAGAUGUCCGGGGCCGCACGCGCGCUACACGAAGAAGCAGCGGUCUUUAUCCCUGUCUGAAAAGACUGGGUAACCCGUGGAACUUCUUUCGUGAUUGGGAUAGGGGCUUGCAAUUGUUCCCCUUGAACGAGGAAUUCCCAGUAAGCGCGAGUCACAAGCUCGCGUUGAUUACGUCCCGCCCUGACACACCGCCCGUCGCUACUACCGAUUGAAUGAUUUACUGAGGUCUUCGGACCGAUGUCCGGCGCGGCCUUUCGGUUGCGCCGGUCUGUUGGAAAGAUGACCAAACUUGAUCAUUUAGAGGAAGUAAAAGUCGUAACAAGGUUUCCGUAGGUGAACCUGCGGAAG